rnacentral:rRNA from 1 species
UGAAUACGAGACGCUAAGGCGUCGAAGUAGUGUAUGUCAUACUUCCAAGAAAAGCUUGCACUGUCAUAGAUAAAAAACGCCUGUACCAUAACCGACACAGGUGGGUAGGUAGAGUAUACUAAGGGGCGCGAGAUAACUCUCUCUAAGGAACUCGGCAAAAUAACUCCGUAUCUUCGGGAGAAGGAGUGCCUUAUUCUUAAGGUUGCAAUAACAAGAUCCAAGCAACUGUUUAUCAAAAACACAGGUCUCCGCUAAGUCGUAAGACGAUGUAUGGGGGCUGACGCCUGCCCAGUGCCAGAAGGUUAAAGAAGCUGGUUAGCAUUUGCGAAGCUAGUAACUGAAGCCCUGGUGAACGGCGGCCGUAACAAUAACGGUCCUAAGGUAGCGAAAUUCCUUGUCGGGUAAGUUCCGACCCGCACGAAAGACGUAAUGAUUUGGAUACUGUCUCGGAGAGGGGCUCGGUGAAAUAGACUUGCCUGUGAAGAUGCGGACUACCUGCACCAGGACAGAAAGACCCUAUGAAGCUUUACUGUAACUUGGAAUUGAAAUUGGACUUUAUUCGCGCAGUAUAGGUGGGAGGCGUUGAUUAUAAUCUUGCGGGAUUAUUGGAGCCAUUAGUGAGAUACCACUCUUGUAAUGUUAGAUUUCUAACUUUGAAUCAUUAUCUGGUCAAAGAACAGUUUCAGGCGGGCAGUUUGACUGGGGCGGUCGCCUCCCAAACGGUAACGGAGGCGUACAAAGGUUUCCUCUGAACGGUUAGAAAUCGUAUCUAGAGUGUAAAGGCAUAAGGAAGCUUGACUGUGAGACCUACAAGUCGAGCAGGGACGAAAGUCGGUCUUAGUGAUCUGACGGUACUGAGUGGAAAGGCCGUCACUCAACGGAUAAAAGUUACUCUAGGAUAACAGGCUGAUCUCCCCCAAGAGUUCACAUCGACGGGGAGGUUUGGCACCUCGAUGUCGGCUCAUCGCAUCCUGGGGCGGUAGUACGUCCCAAGGGUUGGGCUGUUCGCCCAUGAAAGCGGUACGCGAGCUGGGUUCAGAACGUCGUGAGACAGUUCGGUCCAUAUCCGGUGUAGGCGUUAGAAUAUUGAGAGGAGCCUUCUUUAGUACGAGAGGACCGAGAAGGACAUACCUCUGGUGUACCAGUUAUCGUGCCAACGGUAGACGCUGGGUAGCUAUGUAUGGAGUGGAUAACCGCUGAAAGCAUCUAAGUGGGAAGCCCACCUCAAGAUAAGUAUUCUCAUC